GAAUUCAUCUCCGGGGGUAGAGCACUGUUUCGGCAAGGGGGUCAUCCCGACUUACCAACCCGAUGCAAACUGCGAAUACCGGAGAAUGUUAUCACGGGAGACACACGGCGGGUGCUAACGUCCGUCGUGAAGAGGGAAACAACCCAGACCGCCAGCUAAGGUCCCAAAGUCAUGGUUAAGUGGGAAACGAUGUGGGAAGGCCCAGACAGCCAGGAUGUUGGCUUAGAAGCAGCCAUCAUUUAAAGAAAGCGUAAUAGCUCACUGGUCGAGUCGGCCUGCGCGGAAGAUGUAACGGGGCUAAACCAUGCACCGAAGCUGCGGCAGCGACACUAUGUGUUGUUGGGUAGGGGAGCGUUCUGUAAGCCUGUGAAGGUGUGCUGUGAGGUAUGCUGGAGGUAUCAGAAGUGCGAAUGCUGACAUAAGUAACGAUAAAGCGGGUGAAAAGCCCGCUCGCCGGAAGACCAAGGGUUCCUGUCCAACGUUAAUCGGGGCAGGGUGAGUCGACCCCUAAGGCGAGGCCGAAAGGCGUAGUCGAUGGGAAACAGGUUAAUAUUCCUGUACUUGGUGUUACUGCGAAGGGGGGACGGAGAAGGCUAUGUUGGCCGGGCGACGGUUGUCCCGGUUUAAGCGUGUAGGCUGAUUUUCCAGGCAAAUCCGGAAAAUCAAGGCUGAGGCGUGAUGACGAGGCACUACGGUGCUGAAGCAACAAAUGCCCUGCUUCCAGGAAAAGCCUCUAAGCAUCAGGUAACAUCAAAUCGUACCCCAAACCGACACAGGAGGUCAGGUAGAGAAUACCAAGGCGCUUGAGAGCACUCGGGUGAAGGAACUAGGCAAAAUGGUGCCGUAACUUCGGGAGAAGGCACGCUGAUAUGUAGGUGAAGCGACUUGCUCGUGGAGCUGAAAUCAGUCGAAGAUACCAGCUGGCUGCAACUGUUUAUUAAAAACACAGCACUGUGCAAACACGAAAGUGGACGUAUACGGUGUGACGCCUGCCCGGUGCCGGAAGGUUAAUUGAUGGGGUUAGCGGUAACGCGAAGCUCUUGAUCGAAGCCCCGGUAAACGGCGGCCGUAACUAUAACGGUCCUAAGGUAGCGAAAUUCCUUGUCGGGUAAGUUCCGACCUGCACGAAUGG
rnacentral:rRNA from 1 species